UACGUAGGGGGCAAGCGUUGUCCGGAUUUAUUGGGCGUAAAGAGCGUGUAGGCGGCCAAGCAGGUCCGCUGUGAAAACUCGAGGCUCAACCUCGAGACGUCGGUGGAAACCGUUUGGCUAGAGUCCGGAAGAGGAGAGUGGAAUUCCCGGUGUAGCGGUGAAAUGCGCAGAUAUCGGGAAGAACACCUGUGGCGAAGGCGGCUCUCUGGGACGGUACUGACGCUGAGACGCGAAAGCGUGGGGAGCGAACAGG
rnacentral:rRNA from 1 species